GACGAACGCUGGCGGCGUGCUUAACACAUGCAAGUCGAACGGAAAGGCCCUGCUUUUGUGGGGUGCUCGAGUGGCGAACGGGUGAGUAACACGUGAGUAACCUGCCCUUGACUUUGGGAUAACUUCAGGAAACUGGGGCUAAUACCGGAUAGGAGCUCCUGCUGCAUGGUGGGGGUUGGAAAGUUUCGGCGGUUGGGGAUGGACUCGCGGCUUAUCAGCUUGUUGGUGGGGUAGUGGCUUACCAAGGCUUUGACGGGUAGCCGGCCUGAGAGGGUGACCGGCCACAUUGGGACUGAGCUGCGGCCCAGACUCCUACGGGAGGCAGAAGUGGGGAAUAUUGCACAAUGGGCGGAAGCCUGAUGCAGCAACGCCGCGUGCGGGAUGACGGCCUUCGGGUUGUAAACCGCUUUCGCCUGUGACGAAGCGUGAGUGACGGUAAUGGGUAAAGAAGCACCGGCUAACUACGUG
rnacentral:rRNA from 1 species